rnacentral:rRNA from 1 species
UUAAGCUACAAAGGGCGUAGGGUGAAUGCCUUGGCAUCAAGAGCCGAUGAAGGACGUGAUAAGCUGCGAUAAGCUAUGGGUAGGAGCAAAUAUCCACUAAUCCAUAGAUCUCCGAAUGAGGAAACUCAACUAGUAACAAUAUACUAGUUAUCCAUACAUGAGUAAAGUAGUGUAUGAGAAGGGAACGUGGGGAACUGAAACAUCUUAGUACCCACAGGAAAAGAAAGAAAAUAUUCGAUUCCUAGAGUAGUGGCGAGCGAAAUAGGAAGAGCCCAAACUGUAAGUAGUAAUACAUACAGGGUUCGGACUGCAUAAUCGAUUUAAUGAGUUUAGUAGAAGUGUUUUGGAAAAGCACACCAUAGAUGGUGAAAGUCCAGUAUGCAAAAAGCGAGUUAACGAGGCAGUAUCCAGAGUAGCACGAGGCACGUGGAAUCUCGUGUGAAUGUGUGGGGACCAUCCCAUAAGGCUAAAUACUACUUGAUGACCGAUAGUGAACGAGUACCGUGAGGGAAAGGUGAAAAGAACCCCGGGAGGGGAGUGAAAUAGAAUUUGAAACCCUAUGUUUACAAGCAGACAAAGCACGUUAAGGUGCGAUGUCGUACUUUUUGUAGAACGGUCCAGCGAGUUAUUGUAUAUGGCAAGGUUAAAUACUAAGUAAGGUAUGGAGCCGAAGCGAAAGCGAGUGUUAAUAGCGCGUUUAAGUCAUAUGUAAUAGACCCGAAACCGAGUGACCUAUCCAUGGUCAGGAUGAAGCUAGAGUAAAAUCUAGUGGAGGUCCGAACUGAUUGUCGUUAAAAAGGCACCGGAUGAACUGUGGAUAGCGGAGAAAUUCCAAUCGAACUCGGAGAUAGCUGGUUCUCCUCGAAAUAGCUUUAGGGCUAGCCUUGAGGUAAAGUCUAAUGGAGGUAAAGCACUGAUUGGACGCGGGUCCCCAAAAGGAUACCAACUUCUAUCAAACUCAGAAUGCCAUAUAGAUAUACUCAGGAGUCAGACUAUGUGAGAUAAGUUUCAUAGUCAAAAGGGAAAGAGCCCAGACCGACAGCUAAGGUCCCAAAGUGUGUGUUAAGUGGAAAAGGAUGUUAGGUUUCUAAGACAACUAGGAUGUUGGCUCAGAAGCAGCCACUCAUUUAAAGAGUGCGUAACAGCUCACUAGUCGAGAGGUCUAGCGCCGAAAAUGUCCGGGGCUAAAACACACCACCGAAGCUACGGAAUUACCUAUGGUAAUUGGUAGAGGAGCAUUCUGUAAGGAUGAAGCACAAUUGAAAGAGAGUGUGGACGGAACAGAAGAGAGAAUGCCGGAAUGAGUAGCGAGAUAUAUGUGAGAAUCAUAUAGGUCGAAUGUCUAAGGUUUCCUGGGUAAAGCUGAUCUGCUCAGGGUAAGUCGGGACCUAAGGUGAGGGCGAGAGCCGUAAUCGAUGGACAACAGGUAGAAAUUCCUGUACUACGUAUAAUCAGAACUGUGGGGACGCAGGAGGAUAGGAAAACCGGAGAAUGGAAAAAUCCGGCUAAGUACAAAGGUGUGAGCAAUAGGCAAAUCCGUUGCUAUAAGCUGAAGUACGAAUGGGAGCGAAGAAAAGUAGCGAAGUUUCUGAAUCCACACUGUCAAGAAAAGCCGCUAUUGCGUUAUACGUACCCGUACCGCAAACCGACACAGGUAGACGAGGAGAAAAUCCACAGACCGACGGGAGAAGUGUUGUUAAGGAACUCGGCAAAAUGACCCCGUAACUUAGGGAUAAGGGGAGCCAACGCAAGUUGGUCACAGAAAAGAGGCUCAAGCGACUGUUUAGCAAAAACAUAGGUCUAUGCGAAACCGUAAGGUGAUGUAUAUGGGCUGACACCUGCCCGGUGCUGGAAGGUCAAAAGGAGAGGUUAGCGUAAGCGAAGCUUUGAAUUCAAGCCCCAGUAAACGGCGGCCGUAACUAUAACGGUCCUAAGGUAGCGAAAUUCCUUGUC